AUUGAACGCUGGCGGCAGGCCUAACACAUGCAAGUCGAGCGGAUGACGGGAGCUUGCUCCUGGAUUCAGCGGCGGACGGGUGAGUAAUGCCUAGGAAUCUGCCUGGUAGUGGGGGACAACGUUUCGAAAGGAACGCUAAUACCGCAUACGUCCUACGGGAGAAAGCAGGGGACCUUCGGGCCUUGCGCUAUCAGAUGAGCCUAGGUCGGAUUAGCUAGUUGGUGAGGUAAUGGCUCACCAAGGCGACGAUCCGUAACUGGUCUGAGAGGAUGAUCAGUCACACUGGAACUGAGACACGGUCCAGACUCCUACGGGAGGCAGCAGUGGGGAAUAUUGGACAAUGGACGAAAGCCUGAUCCAGCCAUGCCGCGUGUGUGAAGAAGGUCUUCGGAUUGUAAAGCACUUUAAGUUGGGAGGAAGGGCAGUAAGCGAAUACCUUGCUGUUUUGACGUUACCGACAGAAUAAGCACCGGCUAACUCUGUGCCAGCCGCCGCAGUAACAC
rnacentral:rRNA from 1 species